rnacentral:rRNA from 1 species
AUUGAACGCUGGCGGCAUGCUUUACACAUGCAAGUCGAACGGUAACAGGUCUUCGGAUGCUGACGAGUGGCGAACGGGUGAGUAAUACAUCGGAACGUGCCUAGUAGUGGGGGAUAACUACUCGAAAGAGUAGCUAAUACCGCAUGAGAUCUACGGAUGAAAGCAGGGGACCUUCGGGCCUUGUGCUACUAGAGCGGCCGAUGGCAGAUUAGGUAGUUGGUGGGGUAAAGGCUUACCAAGCCUGCGAUCUGUAGCUGGUCUGAGAGGACGACCAGCCACACUGGGACUGAGACACGGCCCAGACUCCUACGGGAGGCAGCAGUGGGGAAUUUUGGACAAUGGGCGAAAGCCUGAUCCAGCAAUGCCGCGUGCAGGAUGAAGGUCCUCGGGUUGUAAACUGCUUUUGUACGGAACGAAAAGCCUGGGGCUAAUAUCCCCGGGUCAUGACGGUACCGUAAGAAUAAGCACCGGCUAACUACGUGCCAGCCGCCGCCGUAA